rnacentral:rRNA from 1 species
GCAGUCGAACGGUGAUGCUCCAGCUUGCUGGAGUGGAUCAGUGGCGAACGGGUGAGUAACACGUGAGCAACCUGCCCCCUACUUCGGGAUAAGCCUUGGAAACGAGGUCUAAUACUGGAUAUGAGCACUCAUCGCAUGGUGGGUGUUGGAAAGUUUUUCGGUGGGGGAUGGGCUCGCGGCCUAUCAGCUUGUUGGUGGGGUAAUGGCCUACCAAGGCGUCGACGGGUAGCCGGCCUGAGAGGGCGACCGGCCACACUGGGACUGAGACACGGCCCAGACUCCUACGGGAGGCAGCAGUGGGGAAUAUUGCACAAUGGGCGAAAGCCUGAUGCAGCGACGCCACGUGAGGGAUGACGGCCUUCGGGUUGUAAACCUCUUUCAGCAGGGAAGAAGCGAGAGUGACGGUACCUGCAGAAGAAGCGCCGGCUAACUACGUGCCAGCAGCCGCGGUAAUACGUAGGGCGCAAGCGUUGUCCGGAAUUAUUGGGCGUAAAGAGCUCGUAGGCGGUCUGUCGCGUCUGGUGUGAAAUCCCAUGGCUCAACUGUGGGCUUGCAUCGGGUACGGGCAGACUAGAGUGCUGUAGGGGAGACUGGAAUUCCUGGUGUAGCGGUGGAAUGCGCAGAUAUC